GUUCGAUGCCAGCAAGAGAUAUUUUGCAAAAAUAAACCAUCAGAAGUUUAACAUUAACCGAUCCACAGUCCUGGAUGGAGCUAUCAGAGAUUUUAAAUGAGGGACAUAUGAGGGAGUACCUGAAGAGGCUGUGGAUUUAGGUGGACCAAGAAGAGAAUUUCUAAGACUGCUAAUGGAAGCUUUGCCCCUAUCUCCAAUGUUUGAGGGAGAAGAAGGAAAAAUGAACCUGGCCUUCAACAUUACUGCUGCCCUGGUUGACAGCCUCUUCACCAUCCACCUAUAACCAGUUGGCAGCAACAGAAGACGUGCUGAAGAAGUUGUUCCUUUCUGGAGAGACUACCUAACAGAUGCAGAAGAGAUGCAACUACAGCCUCAGCAAGCCGACGUCUGUUACAAAAGAUGUUGAGACAACGAUGGUACAAUAACAGGCAAAAUUGAGUCCAGGAUUGUGCAUGACUGCAAACAUGCAGCAGAAUGGGUGGAAAUGAACCGGCAA